UCGUUUCUAUCUUCGACACAUGGAAUGCGCUAACGAAAUUUUGAUUGUUACAGACGCGGACGACGGAGUUAACCGUACGUUAUAAAAUCUCGAGAUAAUUAAGAUUUAAUUGUCGUUGCAAUUGCAAGCCGUUACUCAUAAUUGUCGUACAAGUGUACACCAGGUCUGGAGUGCGAGAAGCUCUCGAAUCUGCCGCAGCUCAUUCGAUUGUUUUCUCCGUAACUAAUUUCUGUUCCCUCCACCGCUACACAUAUGCGGUGCAUGCAACGAGUAACUUCGCGUAACGGCUGCAAACUCUAUACGAGCUUACGCAGGUACCUCGAUUUCAAUGAUAUCCCGCGAUGCCAACAAAAUGGCGAAUGUCGCAACGUUCUCGAUUUUUUCUUUUUUCGUUUUUUUUUUUUUUUUUGUCGGUUUUUCCCUUUUUCGCUGACUGGGGGCUGUACAGCGCUGGAUGGGCGGUUGGAUUUUAUGCCGCAAAAUAGAAAUCGGUCGCGACGGUAUUUCGCAGCGGCAACGGCAGUGGUAACGUGACACGAACGGUAGUCAGGUACUAUUCAGAAUGCACUUCGGCGCCUUGUCCUCUCUACGAUCUGCAUACGAAAUUCCGCAUUCGGUGGAGUCGAAUAAUCAUCAAUCAAACGGACGAACGAAAACAUGUCAAGCUUAAUACAUGGUGUAAAUCAUUAUAUGGGUCGAUCGGAAGUGAGCAUAUAUAAUACCCAACGCGAGGACGCGAGGUUAACAAUAAAUUUUACAGGAAUAGCUCUAGAAUUAACGCAACCUGCAAUGCGAUGUGGCUGAAACAAGCCUGCACCCUUGAGGUAAAAACUGAAAUGAAUACAAGAAUUUCGCUCGCUUGAGCGACUCAAAAUUUUUUACAAACUGAAAUCAGUAAGAAAUACUGCGCAUUCGUAUAAUGAUCCUAUUAUGAGUUUGAUCAAUUUAUAAAAAACAAAAAUUUGAGCAUUCAUUUUUGAUGAAAAAAAAUACUAAUAUAAAUUUUAAUGUGCGAUGUGAAAAAUAACUCGGACACUACAUCGAUAACAUCGGUGAAAAAAUAAAAACAUCUAAUGGAAAUAAAAAAAAAAAUCGUUCGACGAGGAUGGGAUUCGAACCCACGCGUGCAGAGCACAUUGGAUUAGCAGUCCAACGCCUUAACCACUCGGCCACCUCGUCUUGUGAAAAUCAUCGAACAGAAGCCGAUUGUCUGCCCAAGUUUGGUAUUCGCAUUCAACGAAAUUCACCCUCGACUCGGUUAUUGUUACGGUACGAGUUUACCCCUCGUUCUUGUUCAGUUUCUAUAUUUUUGAAGCCCCCGAAAAUUUGGGCGAACGAUAUUUGUCUACGAACUUGAUUUUUCUCAAAUUUUAUUAAAUUUCCGAAUCUGAUCGACGUUUUACUGUUUUUGGAUCGUUCUUUUUUAUCCAUAAAAUUUUCUCGUUUGCACUUAUUUUCUAGAUUUUUUUUUUACGAUGUUAU